rnacentral:rRNA from 1 species
GGCCUCCUACGGGGCGCAGCAGUAGGGAAUCUUCCACAAUGGACGAAAGUCUGAUGGAGCAACGCCGCGUGAGUGAAGAAGGGUUUCGGCUCGUAAAGCUCUGUUGGUAGUGAAGAAAGAUAGAGGUAGUAACUGGCCUUUAUUUGACGGUAAUUACUUAGAAAGUCACGGCUAACUACCUGCCAGCAGCCGCGGUAAUUCGUAGGUGGCAAGCGUUGUCCGGAUUUAUUGGGCGUAAAGCGAGUGC